rnacentral:lncRNA from 1 species
AAAUGUGUGAAAAUCAAUGAUACAUAUCAAGGUAGCUUAUUUAAAUCAGUGAUCAGGUUCAUAUUUAUUACGUCUUAGGUUUUAUUAGGUAAGUAGAGACUUAUGUUUUAAUUAGGUAAGUAGAGACUUAUGUUUUAAUUAUUCUUGUUGGUAUUAUCCUUUAUUCGUAAAAGCUAGAAUUCAUAUUUGUAUGUCUAUCAUCUUCUGAAAUACGUUCAUAUUGUUUGGUGGAAGUUUGAUGUAUAUUUUUGAAUUUACUUUGAUUAGUUUUCUUAAGACUUUUGUUGUGCUGAGGAGAGAAUUUGAUUAAUGUGCUUCUAAAGGAUUGUGGACUAUGUUGCAUGGGUUGGGGUAUGAGUGUCAAGUGCAGGUGUUUGUCUAAUUGUUCAAUCCUUCAUAACUCAAAUUUUAGGUUGUGAAGACUUGGCUAAAAAUGAUCCAAAAAAGGGGCAUGGACACCUUUUCCCUCUAAAAAAAAAAUCAAUUAAAAUAAAUUGACAUAAAAAUAAAUUGACAUGAAAAUAAAUUGACAAUGAAAAUGUCCUAUUUAAAAGCUCCCACCUUAAGGUACCCUAGGUACUACCUUAGCUAAACAUGAACUCAACCUCUCCCAAGCCUUGGGUCUUCCUUUGUGACCCUUAGAGCAUCCUAUUAUGUGGUUCUCUUGAGUGCUCAAGUGGUCCACCAAUGGUUUUUUGGGACUGUACCUUAGGUACACCUUAAUGACCUUUAAGUAUUACCUUAAGAGACCCUAGGUACUACCUUAGCUAAACUUGAACUCAACCUCUCCUAAGCCUCGAGCUUUCCUUGGCUUUCCUUUGUGAGCCUUAAAGCAUCUCAUUAUGUGGUUGAGCAUCUCAUUAUGUGGUUCUCUUGAGUGCUCAAGUGGUCCACCAAAGGUUUUUUGUAAUUGUACCUUAGGUACUACCUUAAGAGCCCUUAGGUACUACCUUAAUGGCCUUUAGGUACUAGCUAAAGGGACCCUAGGUACUACCUUAGCUAAACAUGAACUCAACCUCUCCCAAGCCUCGGGUCUUCCUUUGUGACCCUUAGAGCAUCCCAUUAUGCGGUUCUCUUAAGUGCUCAAGAGGUUCACCAAAGGUUUUUUGGGACUGUACCUUAAGUACUACCUUAAGGGCCCUUAGGUACUACCUUAAUGGCCUUUAGGUACUAGCUUAAGGGACCCUAGGUACUACCUUAAGGUAAACAUGAACUCAACCUCUCCCAAGCCUCGGGCCUUCCUUUGUGACCCUUAAAGCAUCCCAUUAUGUGGUUCUCUUGAGUGCUCAAGUGGUCUACCAAUGGUUUUUUGGGACUGUACCUUAGGUACUACCUUAAUGGCCUUUAGGUACUACCUUAAGGGACCCUAGGUACUACCUUAGCUAAACAUGAACUCAACCUCUCCCAAGCCUCGAGUCUUUCUUUGUGACCCUUAGAGCAUCCCAUUAUGUGGUUCUCUUCAGUGCUCAAGUGGUCCACCAAAGUUAUUUUGCACUGUACCUUAGGUACUACCUUAAGAGCCCUUAGGUACUACCUUAAUGGUCUUUAGGUACUACCUUAAGGGACCCUAGGUACUACCUUAGCUAAACUUGAACUCAACCUCUCCCAAGCCUCGGGUCUUCCUUGGUGACUCUUAGAGCAUCCCAUUAUGUGGUUCUCUUGAGUAUUCAAGUGGUCCACCAAAGGUUUUUUGGGACUGUACCUUAGGUACUACCUUAAGGGCCCUUAGGUACUACCUUAAUGGCCUUUAGGUACUACCUUAAGGGACCUUAGGUACUACCUUAAGGUAAACUUGAACUCAACCUCUCCCAAGCCUCGGGUCUUCCUUGGUGACCCUUAGAGCAUCCCAUUAUGUGGUUAUCUUGAGUGUUGAAGUGGUCCACCAAAGGUUUUUUAGGACUGUACCUUAGGUACUACCUUAAGGGCCCUUAGGUACUACCUUAAGAGACCCUAGGUACUACCUUAAGGUAAACUUGAACUCAACCUCUCCCAAGCCUUGUGUCUUCCUUGGUGACCCUUAUAGCAUCCCAUUAUGUGGUUGUCUUCAGUGUUGAAGUGGUCCAUUAUUGGUUUUUUGGGAUUGUAGCUUAGGUACUACCUUAAGGGCCCUUAGGUACUACCUUAGUGGCCUUGAGGUACUACCUUAAGGUAAACUUGAACUCAACCUCUCCCAAGCCUCGGGUCUUCCUUUGUGACCCUUGGACCAUCCCAUUAUGUGGUUCUCUUCAUUCCUCAAGUGGUCCACCAAUGGCUUCUUGGGACUGUAGCUUAGGUACUACCUUAAGGGCCCUUA